rnacentral:rRNA from 1 species
AGUUCGGAUUGUAGGCUGCAACUCGCCUACAUGAAGUCGGAAUUGCUAGUAAUCGCGGAUCAGCAUGCCGCGGUGAAUACGUUCCCGGGCCUUGUACACACCGCCCGUCACACCAUGGGAGUCGGUAACACCCGAAGCCUGUAGUCUAACCGCAAGGGGGACGCAGUCGAAGGUGGGAUUGAUGACUGGGGUGAAGUCGUAACAAGGUAGC